UCCAGGAAGCUCAGUAAACCACCUUAAAGGCAGCAAUCCUCAGCAGGCCCACGGUAGCUGUUUAGCUAAGAGAGGAUGAGAGACACUGGGCCUCACUACACAUCAUUUCCAGGAAGUCGGGACUCCAAAAAUGAGACAACUAUGAUGAUACAUCCCCUUAAAGGUUCUUCAUUGUACUAUGGAUUUUUUAAAAUUGUAAGUCAAGUUCCAAGUUCUGUGAAUCUACUGAUUUUAAGUCUGUGACUCAAACUGUGCCACAA
rnacentral:lncRNA from 1 species